rnacentral:rRNA from 1 species
AGUGAACGCUGGCGGUAGGCCUAACACAUGCAAGUCGAACGGCAGCACAGUAAGAGCUUGCUCUUACGGGUGGCGAGUGGCGGACGGGUGAGGAAUACAUCGGAAUCUACUUUUUCGUGGGGGAUAACGUAGGGAAACUUACGCUAAUACCGCAUACGACCUACGGGUGAAAGCAGGGGAUCUUCGGACCUUGCGCGAUUGAAUGAGCCGAUGUCGGAUUAGCUAGUUGGCGGGGUAAAGGCCCACCAAGGCGACGAUCCGUAGCUGGUCUGAGAGGAUGAGCAGCCACACUGGAACUGAGACACGGUCCAGACUCCGACGGGAGGCAGCAGUGGGGAAUAUUGGACAAUGGGCGCAAGCCUGAUCCAGCCAUACCGCGUGGGUGAAGAAGGCCUUCGGGUUGUAAAGCCCUUUUGUUGGGAAAGAAAAGCAGCAGGUUAAUACCCCGCUGUUCUGACGGUACCCAAAGAAUAAGCACCGGCUAACUUCGUG